rnacentral:rRNA from 1 species
UACGUAGGGUGCAAGCGUUGUCCGGAUUUAUUGGGCGUAAAGAGCUCGUAGGCGGUUUGUCGCGUCGGAUGUGAAAACCCAGGGCUCAACCCCGGGCCUGCAUUCGAUACGGGCAGACUAGAGUAUGGCAGGGGAGACUGGAAUUCCUGGUGUAGCGGUGAAAUGCGCAGAUAUCAGGAGGAACACCGGUGGCGAAGGCGGGUCUCUGGGCCAAAACUGACGCUGAGGAGCGAAAGCGUGGGGAGCGAACAGG